rnacentral:rRNA from 1 species
CAGCCGCCACGGUAAUACGUAGGGUGCGAGCGUUAAUCGGAAUUACUGGGCGUAAAGCGCGCGCAGGCGGUUGUGUAAGACAGGUGUGAAAUCCCCGGGCUUAACCUGGGAACUGCGCUUGUGACUGCACAGCUAGAGUAUGGCAGAGGGGGGUGGAAUUCCACGUGUAGCAGUGAAAUGCGUAGAGAUGUGGAGGAACACCGAUGGCGAAGGCAGCCCCCUGGGCCAAUACUGACGCUCAUGCACGAAAGCGUGGGGAACAAACAGGAUUAGAUACCCCCGUAGUCCCUGUCUCUUAUAC